UGGGGAAUAUUGCGCAAUGGGCGAAAGCCUGACGCAGCGACGCCGCGUGAGGGAUGAAGGUUUUCGGAUCGUAAACCUCUGUCAGAAGGGAAGAAACCGCACUGUGCUAAUCAGCAGUGCCUUGACGGUACCUUCAAAGGAAGCACCGGCUAACUCCGUGCCAGCAGCCGCGGUAAUACGGAGGGUGCAAGCGUUAAUCGGAAUUACUGGGCGUAAAGCGCACGUAGGCUGCUUUGUAAGUCAGGGGUGAAAGCCCACGGCUCAACCGUGGAACUGCCUUUGAUACUGCUUAGCUUGAAUCCGGGAGAGGGUGGCGGAAUUCCAGGUGUAGGAGUGAAAUCCGUAGAUAUCUGGAGGAACAUCAGUGGCGAAGGCGGCCACCUGGACCGGUAUUGACGCUGAGGUGCGAAAGCGUGGGGAGCAAACAGG
rnacentral:rRNA from 1 species